rnacentral:rRNA from 1 species
UGCAAGUCGAACGAGAAAUUUAUUUCUAGUGGCGAACGGGUGAGUAACGUAUUUCUAACGUGCCCCGGAGAGAGGAAUAACUAUUGGAAACGAUAGCUAAUACCUCAUAGGAUAUUGGAUGGCAUCCUCUAAUGUUUAAAGGUGCGUUUGCACCACUCCGGGAUCGGGAAAUAUCACAUUAGCUAGUUGGUGGGGUAAUGGCCCACCAAGGCAAUGAUGUGUAGCCGAGCUGAGAGGUUGAUCGGCCACAAUGGGACUGAGACACGGCCCAUACUCCUACGGGAGGCAGCAGUAGGGAAUUUUCCACAAUGGACGAAAGUCUGAUGGAGCAAUGCCGCGUGAGGGAUGACGGUUUUCGGACUGUAAACCUCUGUUGUAAGGGAAGAAUAGCCUGUAUAGGAAAUGAUACAGGUCUGACGGUACCUUACCAGAAAGUCACGGCUAACUAUGUGCCAGCAGCCGCGGUAAUACAUAGGUGGCGAGCGUUAUCCGGAUUUAUUGGGCGUAAAGAGUGCACAGGUGGUUUGUCAAGUCAGUGUUAAAGCCCGGGGCUCAACCCCGGUUCGCAUUUGAAACUGACAGACUAGAGUAUCGGUGGGGUUAGUAGAAUUCCAUGUGUAGCGG